CCAUUAGAUCCCAUUAGAUCCCAUUGAAUCCCAUUAGAACUUCGCAAUUAAGCGUGCUCGAGAUAGAGUAGUGCUGGGAUUGGUGACCACCCGAGAAGUCCUAGUGUUUUACAUGC
rnacentral:rRNA from 1 species